rnacentral:rRNA from 1 species
CAGUCGCCACGGUAAUACGAAGGGUGCAAGCGUUACUCGGAAUUACUGGGCGUAAAGCGCACGUAGGCGGAUAUUUAAGUCAGGGGUGAAAUCCCGCAGCUCAACUGCGGAACUGCCUUUGAUACUGGGUAUCUUGAGUAUGGAAGAGGUUAGUGGAAUUGCGAGUGUAGAGGUGAAAUUCGUAGAUAUUCGCAGGAACACCAGUGGCGAAGGCGGCUAACUGGUCCAUAACUGACGCUGAGGUGCGAAAGCGUGGGGAGCAAACAGGAUUAGAUACCCCGGUAGUCCCUGUCUCUUAUAC